rnacentral:rRNA from 1 species
UACGAGGGGGGCAAGCGUUGUUCGGAAUUAUUGGGCGUAAAGAGCUCGUAGGCGGUCUGUCGCGUCGGCUGUGAAAACCCGGAGCUCAACUCCGGGCCUGCAGUCGAUACGGGCAGACUGGAGUUCGGCAGGGGAGACUGGAAUUCCUGUGUAGCGGUGAAAUGCGCAGAUAUCAGGAGGAACACCGGUGGCGAAGGCGGGUCUCUGGGCCGAUACUGACGCUGAGGAGCGAAAGCGUGGGGAGCGAACAGG